CGUGAAGCCUCCGUGAUCUCAAAUUGUCAUUAUUCACUAUGUAAAAUAGUAAGGAAGUUAGUUAUAAAGUGCCUAGGAAAGACUUUAGAUCGAGUUGGCACUCAAUAAGGGCAAGUUUCAGGUAUCUGAAAAAGCCUCUUAGGACACCAGUCAGUGAGGGCAGAUAGGUGAGGCAUUAUUACCUUUGGAUACAGUGGAGAUGAUUUGUGCUAGAAGUUCAGCUGCUAUUUGGUCUUUGAUCACAGAGGUUUUGCAUUAGGGUCCUAUCUUGAGCUUAUAAUUAAGUACCCAUCCCUAAGGGUGGGUAAAUAGCCAGAAGUAAGCUGGUCACGUUGCCCUCCAGCCUAAAAUAUAGCACUUUCUGCUUUUGGUAGUUUUCCAGAAGCUAGCCUUUGAGGGUAUCUCGUUUUUUUUGUUGUUGUUGUUGUUGAGAUGGAGUCUCGCUCUGUUGCCCAGGCUGGAGUGCAGUGGCCUGAUCUUGGCUCACUGCAAGCUCCGCCUCCCGGGUUCACGCCAUUCUCCUGCUCAGCCUCCCGAGUAGCUGGGACUACAGGCGCCUGCCACCUUGCCCGGCUAGUUUUUUGUAUUUUUAGUAGAGUUGGAGUUUUCACCAUGUUAGCCAGGAUGGUCUCGAUCUCCUGACCUUGUGAUCCACCCUCUUCGGCCUCCCAAAGUGCUGGGAUUACAGGCGUGAGCCACCGCGCCCAGCCAAGGGUAUCUCAUUAUUUUAUGUUUUAUUUUUGCUUCGUCUUUGGGCCCAUACACCAUCCCUGCCACAGUGUGUGUGUAACAUAGUCAUUUUGCCUUAACCAUGAAGCUUGUUUUGUUUUGUUUUGUUUUGUGUUUUGAGACAGGGUCUCACUCUGUCACCCAGGCUGGAGUGUAGUGGCAUGAUCACAGCUCACCACAGCCUUGACCUCCUGGGCUCAGGUGAUACUCCCACCUCAGCCUCCCGAGUAGCUGGGACUACAGUCACCUGCUACCACACCCAGCUAAUUUUUGUAUUUUUUGUAGAGACGGGGUUCACCACAUUGCCCGGGCUGGUUGCAAACUCCUGGGCUCAAACCAUCUGCCUGGCUUGGCCUCCCAAAGUGCUAGGAUUACAGGCAUGAGCCACUGUGCCUGGCCCAUAAAGCAUUAUACUUUGUACCUAUACUAAAAGGCAUCUGAGAUACUUUCAGCAUGUUUGUCCAGUGUUUCCUUUUCAUUUAUAAUGAUUUAGUAUGAGCUAGCUGCCUACAUGUAAUAUUAACCACAACUUAAAAAAAUUUCCAACAAUCAAGGGCUCUGCGUUUUCAUAUUGGAUUUUUAAAUACUUCCAAUCACAGCAUCAUUACAACCACUUGAUUUGGUUAAAUAUACAUGUUGAAGUGUGCAAUGUUAUGUAUUUGAGGGGCCUUUCUAAAGAUCAGUUGGAGCCAGGCAUGGUGGUAUGUGCCUGUAGUCCUAAUUACUGGGAAGGCUGAAGUGGGUAGAUUGCUUGACCCCAGGAGUUAAAGGCUGCGGUGAGCUAUGACUGUACCACUGUACUCCACUGUGGACAACACAGCAAGACCCCAUCUCUUAAAAAAAAAAAAAAAAAGAAAGUAAAGAUCAGUUUGUGUGUUCUAAAUCUCCUGUUUUGCUAUCAUCAGUCCUUAAGAUACUAGGUAAUGUUGGCUUUUCAACCUACAGCUUUUGUUUUCAUGUCCUAAAAUUUUUUGAUAAAAGUCUGUAUUUUAUGUCUUAGGAGCCGUCCUUCCAUGGAGCUUGUUCUCUGGAAACCCCUCCCUGAACUCCUUUCUGAUAAGCCAAAGCCAUCCUCUAAUACUAAGAACUAUACAGGAGAGAGCCAAGCUAAGCAUGUAGCUGCUGGCACUGCCUUCCCUCAGAGAACUGAACUGUUUUCGGAACCUCGGCCAACAGGGAUGUCUCUUUAUAAUAGUUUGGAGACAGCUACUAGCACAGAAGAAGAGAUGGAACUCUAGAAACCAAUUUCUACACUAAAGUUGUCAAAUGUUAGAAGAAUCCUGUGUUCAGUUAUGAGACUCUUUGCAUAGUAUAGGGACUUGAAAGUUUUAUGAGACGGGUGUAAUAAUAUCUCCACCUGUGAUUUGGGGGUGGGACUCUUAUUUUGGGUAGCCAUUUAUUGACUUCACCUUUUUGCCAAGGACGUUUGUCUCAAGGGAAAAGCAGUUUUCUGUGGGGCUUAUUAAAGGAAUGUUGGUUUACAUUGUCUUCAAAGACAAGUAUAGAAGCUGUAUGUGUAAGGGUGACUUAAAUCAUAUGUCACAUUGUCUAAACUAUUCAGACACUUGGAGAAUAUUCUCCUUGAAUUAAAAAAGAUGAUUAAGAAGGAUGCUCCUACAACUGUAUCCUGACAGUUAAGUCACAGCUUAAUGUGUAGAUAUGAGCUGUUUACAGUGGUGACUAUAUAUAAUUGGGGAGAAGAAGGGAAGAGAGCAGCAGUAGCUUAAGCCUGUUGCUAAGAAAUUUAAUUUCUUAGCAACUUGUAAUUUAGUUAUCAAUUCAAUAUAGCUCUGUUGAUUAAAUAGCCGAUAGUAUUGUGGCUCUCCUCUUUGACUAUGAAAAUAUAGAGAAAGUUUUUUCUUUAAGGCUUUUUUGCCUUGUGCCACUGUUGCUCCUUGGUUUCCCUUGCGUAAUUGAUAAGCCCAGUUAUUCAGUAAUGUUUACAAAUUAAUUGACUUUGAUAGUUAAAAGAUUAUGAGGUAACCCAUCUGCAAUUUGCCUGUGGGAGAAGCAUCCUUUAGUUCAUCUUAAGGAAGUGCUUUAUCAGCUAAACCCAACAUUGAUAACUUUGGUAAUUUUUUUAAAAAGUUAUACUUGUAUUAGCAAGUUUUUUUUUUUUUCCCCCACCGCAACCUCCAUCUCCCGGGUUCAAGCAAUUCUCCUGCCUCACCCUCCCAAGUAGCUGGGAUUACAGGUGCCCACCUCCACGCCCAGCUAAUUUUUGUAUUUUUAAUAGAGACCGGUUUUGCCAUGUUGGCCAGGCUGGUCUCGAACUCCUGACCUCAGGUGAUCUGCCCACCCCAGCCUCCCAAAAUGCUGGGAUUACAGGCGUGAGCCACGGCACGCAGCCAGCAAGUUGUUUUUAAAUGUUAAUAUAGAAAACAGUGAAGGAUUAGCUGAAAAUAUAUGAGCAGGUGACAUUGAGGUUUACUGAAAUAGCCAAUUUGACUGGUGCUUAGACUAUUGUGCAGUAAACCUAAAAGGUAGUGGAGAAUUGCUUCCUGCUAGCAGGAAGCCUUCAUCUUCUUGAGUACCCAAACCAGGCUUCAGGUGUCCUUUGAGGAUAGCCAGGUUUGAAAUUUUUAGUUUCUCAGGAAGAGCUCUUCUAUGUGGCAGGGGCUGAUAGGGCAAAAUAAAAUGACAAUUUCUUUAUUGCUACAGAGUAUCCUCUAUAAGUUAUUAAACGAGUGUAAUGGUAUAAUGCCCUUCCAUCACACAACAGGACACCACCCCAGUUUUGUUUUCUGGGUUUCUUCCCCCUUUGUAGGAAUCAGAUACCUUUUGUAGAAAAAAAUGGCUUAUGCCACGUAAAGGUGAAUUUUUAGAAACCACCUUCUAGGCGUUUUUGGAACCCUUACUGAAAUCCCUCCCCUUGUUACAGAUGGCGUAGAAGUCACAAGUCUGUUAAUUGGACUGUUGCUUCUUUGCCUGUUCCUGCUUUCUCUUUCUGUCUGGAUAGUCAGGAAAAGAUUUAAUGUUUAAUAUUUAAACAAAAUAUUUAAUGUCUAUACAGUAAAAUUAUUCAAACUUCAAACCAGUAUUGAAAGCAGUUGGAAACCAGCUAAUAGUUUCUUAAUCUCAGAUUUCGAGAUGAAUGUAAACUGUAUUCUUUUGAAAUGUGCAAGUGUUUGAUUCAUGCCAUUUGAUAAACUUCUGCCUUGUAGUCAUUGUUUGAUGGGACCAACUUGUAAAGUAUGAGCCUUAAAUAAAUCUCCAUGCUGAAAAAUGUGUUCUAAUGCAACACAAAAACAUGAAGUGACUGCCCAGAGGUAGAGUUAGUGUUUAGGUGGAAAGGGAGAUGACAGCUUUCCAAAGAAGGACCUAAAACACACCAAGAUUGUCUUCUACAGGAAUUGCUGGGCAGGUCUCCGACUAAAGGUCUUAUGAUGAAAAGGAAGAAACAAGCCCCCAACACAAGGCUCUGAUACUACUGGUAAAUGUAGGAGAGAAUUAAGAAUCUGUUAAUUAAAAUCCAAACAGAGCUUAUUUCAGUAGUCAAGUUACCUGACAUGAUAAUUAUUUCUGCAGGAUAAUUGAUGUUUUAUGUUCUUUUUUGGACUUUAUCUUCUUGCAAAAAUUUCUACAAAAAUUGUUUUCUUCAUCCUUGUGGUGCUUAUUCAUCUGAGCCGUCUCCACAGUCCCAAUGCCUCUGCUUUUUGUUUUACUUUUGUAGCAUAAGGUUUUUGCUUUUGCUUUGCCUUAAGAGUUCCCUAGGGAGUUACCAGGGCUUUUCGUUUUGUGUAGCUUUUGCAGCAUGGAUCAAACAUUGGCUUACUGUGCUAAUGUGUGAAGAGAAAAAAUUCUCUAAAGCAGGUGAGCUUUAAUGAACAAAUGUGUAUUUUAUCUGAGUUUGAGUAGGGUGCGUUGUGGAUUUUGUUUUUUGGGUUUUUUUUUUUUUUUUGUAAUUAUAUGAAGAAAGUCCAGUUCUCAUAAAUAUUGAUCACUUAAAAAACUUACUCUUUCUUGAAAAGGUACACAUGUAAAAUUUAGGAAAAUAACUAAAGUAGGGGCUGGAACCAUAAGAAGAAUGUUUAUCAGCACGUUCAUUUAUUAUUUUGGAUUUGGAACUUGGCUUUGUUUUUCAAUAGUGACAAGAAUGGUUCAGUUCUAGGAAUGUUCUGGAAGAUGCUGUUAAUUUUACUUUAAAAUGAGAAUCUGGUGUUACUGUAUUUUAUCGUUUUCAAUAAAACUUCUUAAGUGUUUUGGACUUUUGAGAUAUUUGUAUUACUCCACUUAAAUAAUGAAAUCAGAUAUCUCCUUUCCUCUGAAUUGUAGUUGAAGCAGCAUUCAUAUCAGUGAAGGACUUAAAUUUAUCCUGAAGGGAUGAUUAUGUUGGGAUAAAGCUAAGUAUCAUAUUUGAAUUAGCUGUUCCCACAAUAGGCAGGCCAUGUGUUGCUAUUCUAAAACCCAUAGACUGCUUUCCACUCAGAGCAGUUCACUGCUAUUGUUAGUAUUUAGAUGGCAGUGGUAACUGUGUAUUCAAAAAUGUUAAAAUGGGCUAGGUACGAUGGUGCACACCUGUGCCAGCACUUUGUGAGACUGAGGCAGGAGGAUCACUUAAGCUGAGGAGAGACCAGCCUGGACAAUAUUAGCAAGACCUUUUCUCUUAAAAAAAAAAAAAAAGUAUAUAUAUAUAUAUUCAAAUGUAGAGUUGGAAGUGGCAUACAGAGUUCAUAGAGAGGGGGUUGAGGAUCUUUGAAAAUGGGGAAUGGAAAACCCAGUGAUGUUCACUUACAUGGUGUUUUCUUUUUUUGCGUGUGAGACGGAGUUUUGCUUGUUGCCCCGGCUGGAGUGCAAUGGCGUGAUCUUGGCUCACUGCAACCUCUGCCUCCCGGAUUCAAGCAAUUCUCGUGCCUCAGCCUCCUGAGUAGCUGGGAUUACAGGCAUGCGCCACCACACCUGGCUAAUUUUUGUGGGUUUUUUGUUGUUGUUGUUGUUGUUUUUGAGACGGAGUCUCGCUGUUUCGCCAGGCUGGAGUGCAGUGGUGCAAUAUCAGCUCGCUGCAACCUCCGCCACCCAGGUUCAAGCGAUUCUACUGCCUCAGCCUCCUGAGUAGCUGAGACUGUAGGCGCGAACCACCAUGCCCAGCUAAUUUUUCUUGUACUAUUAGUAGAGAUGGAGUUUCUCCGUGUUUGUCAGGCUGGUCUCGAACUCCUAACCUCAGAUGAUCUGCUUGCCUCGGCCUCCCAAAGUGCUGGGAUUACAGGUGUGAGCCACCAUGCCCAGCCGUUUCCUUUAAGACUUGACAGGUCACUGGGUGGCAGUAUUGCCUGCAUAUUUACAUUCUUUGAUAAAUGCAUUCCUGAUUUGGUGGGCAGGAGGAGUUAAGUUUGGGAUACAACUACAAAAAGCAAAGCAUGGUGGGUUUUUUUUUGAGAUGGAGUCUUCCCUCUGUUGCCCAGGCUGGAGUGCAGUGGCACAAUCUCGGUUCACUGCAACCUCUGCCUCCUGGGUUCAGGCGAUUCUCCUGCCUCAGCUUCCUGAGUAGCUGCGACUACCGGCAUGUGCCACCACGCCCAGCUAAUUUUUGUAUUUUUAGUAGAGACGGUUUCACCAUAUUGGCCAGGCUGGUCUCGAACUCCUGACCUUGUGAUCCACCCACCUCAGCCCCCCAAAGUGCUAGGAUUACAGGUGUGAGCCACUGUGCCCGGCUGCAUGAUGUUUUGUUUUUAAUCAAAAUUUGGAAAUCACAGCUAAAAAUGAUCUAAUUACAGGUUUGGAAACUAAAGCCUAAGUAGAUCGUGUCAUCCUGUUCCUCGGGUCAGUGUUCUUUCCACUUGACCAGUUGGUUUUAGAGUCUUUGCCGAUCUAAGAUGUCAUUUAGAUUUUGUUGAAAUAACUGAUAAUAUAGUUCAAGCAGUCUAACAUUAAACUCCUUGAGGAAACAUGGUUUAGUAUGUAUCAGUUUGGUACAAAUCCUAUAGCUGUGUUAAUUCCCUAGUUCCUCAGACUACCAGUAGCAUCUUAGAGAUGAAGUAGUUGUAAUUAGAACAGUGUUUGGAUUAUAGCUCCAGCAAGACAAUGAUGUUUGGUUGGGUGCAGUGGCUCAUGCUUAUAAUCCCAGCAUUUUGGGAGGCUGAGGUCGGAAAAUUGCUUGAGUCCACACGUUUGAGACCAGCCUGGACAACACAGUGGGACUCUGUCUCUAUAAGAAAUUUAAAAAUUAGGUGUGGUGGCUGUUCCCAGCUACUCAGGAGGCUGAGGGGGGAGGAUGGCCUGAGUCCAGGAGUUAGAGGCUGCAGUGAGCCAUGAUUGCGCCAUUGCAGCUCAGCUUGAGUGCCAGUGAGACCCUGCCUCAAAAAAGACUGAUGUUUUCCUUCAACAACUGGUUGGUUGGGUAAACAAGCCAGUCUUCCUAUUGCUUUUUUUUUUUUAAUGUAUUUAUUUUUUAGAGAUGGGGUCUUGCUUUGUUGCCCAGCCGGUCUCGAACUGGGCUCAAGCCAUCCUCCCACCUCAGCCUCUCAAAGUGCUGGGAUUAUAGACGUGAAGCACCGUGCCUGGCCCAGUCUUCCUGUUUCUUAAUGAACUUUAUGUCAUAAGAGAAUUGAAUUCUUAGGAGACUGGAACGUGACUGAUUAUUUUAAAGUGUGCCUGGAGUAAGCAGUAUUACCUUCUGCCUACAGUUCUGUCCCUACUUUCUCUCUGCUCCAAUAACAUAUCUAGUAGAAAAGCAAGGAGGGGGCCAGGUGCAGUGGCUCACGCCUGUAAUCCCAGCAUUUUGUGAGGCUGAGGUGGGUGGAUCACUUGAGGUCAGGAGUUUGAGUCCAGCCAGGCCAACGUGGUGAAACCCUAUUUCUACUAAAAAUACAAAGAUUAGCUGGGUGUGGUGGCAUGUGCCUAUAAUCCCAGCUACUCAAGAGGUUGAGGCAGAAUUGCUUGAACCCAGGAGGUGGAGGUUGCAGUGAGCCAAGAUCAUGCCACUGCACCCCAGCCUGGGCGACAGAGCGAAACUCAGUCUUUUUUAAAAAAAAAAAAAAAGAGAAAUAGAUUGGUGUGACAGGGCCUAGGGAAAUGGCAUGCAGGCAUCUUACCACUUGCCUCUUCAAUCUGAGACAACCCUCUGCAUUUAAUGGAACUCUGGCUUUGGUUUUGUGGGAAUAUCUUGAUUUUUGGUUCUAACCAUUCAAUUUGGUGUUUCAGUAUGAAAAUGUCCAUGAAUACCAGGUGUUUUCUCAAGGCUGUUUAGUAAUUUCCACCCAUCUGUGCAGGAAAUGAAAACCCUGAUAAUUUACACAGGUUAUAUAUGUCCUGUCCUGUUAGUACAGCUGCCUCUUUCAUGUGGUAUCAUUGAAUAUAAAUAACUUGAGCCUCAACCUCCAGAUGCUUGUGCUAUAAUGAUAGAGGAUAAAGUACAUCUGUAAUUACAUCUGCCUAUACAAUUCCUAAAUAGGUUCUUGGCCCUAAGGUUUGCAGAGUUAUAGAAAAUCAGGUGAGAUAAAGUUUUCAAUCAUGGGGUCAGCUGGAGGCUGUUCUUAUAUACAGAACCUUUUUUUUUUUAGGCAGUCUUGCUUUUUCACCCAGUCUGGAGUGCAGUGCUGCGAUCUUGGCUGACUGCAACCUCUGCCCCCUGGCCUCAAGCGAUCCUCCCACCUCAGCUUCCUGAGUGGCUGUGACCACCAGUGCACACCACCAUGCCUGGCUAUUUUUUUUUACUUUUCAUGGAGAGACGGGUUUGCCAUGUUGUCCAGGCUAGUCUUGAACCAAGCAAUCUGCUGGCCUCGGCCUCCCAAAGUGCUGGGAUUAUAGGUGUGAGCCACCAUGCCUGGCCUGUUUCUGAAGAAACUUAAGAGCCUAAGCAAGUUUGUAUUGCUGAGCACCAGGAUUGGGCCCUGGCUUCAACGACCGGAUCUUGAAGGCAGCUAGCUGACUUGCCUCCAGUCACUACAUGAAAGGCAUUCUAUUUUUUUUUUUCUUUUUUAAAUGGAGUUUCGCUCUUGUUGCCCAGGCUGGAGUGCAAUGGCACGAUCUCGGCUCGCUGCAUCCUCUGCCUCCCGGGUUCAAGUGAUUCUGCCGCCUCAGCCUCCUGAGUAGCUGGGAUUACAGGCAUAUGCGCCACCACACCCAGCUAAUUUUGUAUUUUUACUAGAGAUGGGGUUUCACUAUGUUGGUCAGGCUGGCCAUGAACUCCUGACCUCAGGUGAUCCGCCCACCUCAGCCUCCCAAAGUGUUGGGAUUACAAGCGUGAGCCACUACACCUGGCCUACACCAAAGGUAUUCUAUAAUCCACUUUGCCUUGCUGCUUGGGAUUCUCUGAAUCCUGCCUUUUUUCUACUCAUUCACUUUGACCUCCCCAGAGUUAGUCUUUGUAAGUUGGGAACAUAGCAUUUAAAUGCUAAAUUGGCAUAGAAUGAUUUCAUCUACUGGCAUAGGUGAAAUUUUUAUAAAUAAGUAAAGUCCUGUAAAACCUUGUAAGAUUUCCAAGGAAAAGAUGCUAUGAAGGAUGAGGAGGUUAUCAAGUCUUUGGGAGUUGUAUUAAUAUCACUAGGAUUUUUUCUUGAAGAGGUUUAUUUAUUUAUUUAUUUAUUUAUUUAUUUAUUUUUUGAGACAGAGUCUCGCUCUGUUGCCCAGGCUGGAGUGCAGUGGCGCGAUCUCCCCUCACCGCAAGCUCCGCCUCCCGGGUUCACGCCAUUCUCCUGCCUCAGCCUCCCAAGUAGCUGGGAUUACAGGCGCCCACCACCACGCCUGGCUAAUUUUUUGUAAUUUUAGUAGAGACAGGGUUUCCCCAUGUUAGGCAGGAUGGUCUCGAUCUCCUGACCUCGUGAUCCACCCGCCUCAGCCUCCCAAAGUGCUGGGAUUACAGGCAUGAGCCACCGCGCCUGGCCGAGGUUUAUUCUUUGAUGAAACAAAUUCUUGAGUAAAUAUAAUUCUGGAAGAGAUUAAAACCCUUCCAAAGUGGAUUAGGAGAUAAUAACUAACUAACUUUCCAGUGUUUAGGAUGGUGCCUAGCAUAUACUAAAUGCUUAUAAUGCAUCGUCUCUUUGAAUCUUAACCUUUAGAGAUACCAUUAUCCAACUUUACAGAUGAGGAAAUAAGUGAUUAUAUAUAACCCCUGGGUUACCCAGCUUACCAGUGGCAGAGUUGAAAAUAGGGAGUUUCAGUCUAGAAAAUGCUCUUAAUUCCCAUAAUAAGGGCAAGAGAAUCUCGAUAUGUGAUGGUGUGUCCUUGUUUAACAUUUAUAAGAUGGUGUAGCAAAUAGUGGUUAGGGUUCUAGCUCUUCCACUUACUAGCUGUGAUAUUGGUCAGUUAGGCUCAAGAAUCUGUCUCAGAAAGACAGUAACUGCUCAAAUUAUAGCUUAUAUCACUUAUGGCAGUCCAGAAUUAAAGCAGGCAGUAAUUAAGGUGGAAAAGCCUUCAGUCACUUUAAAAAGCGUUAGGCUCACUUCAGUUGGAUUAAUUCCUACCACAGCACACAGAUAAACAUCUGGAGAGAAAACAAGACUUACGGCCCUAGAAGAAAUCAAACAAGGAUGCUGCAUUGUACCUUUUAAUUGCAUGGGUAGUUUUAAAUAAAUGGAGAAAGCACCUUUCAGAAGCUACACUAGCAGGAAAAAAUUCCAUCAAGCAUUUACAUAGUAAAUUUCUAUAAUUUCACAAAAGAUUCUUGAUCUUACUUGAAGUAUACAUGAGGGAAAGAGCCCCCUCAGCAGGUGUUCCCGUUGCUUACAGAAGCAAACUAAAGGACCUAAAACUGGAGGCAAGCCAGGAUGCCAAAAAGGGGGAAGAGAAAUGAUAAAGAACCAUUCAUAAAUUCCAUGUCUACUUCAAGACAUUUGUCUAAUGACCCUUACAUAAUAAGUAUUUUAGGGAAAACUACCACCCUUUUAAGAUAAAAGUACAAUCUUAAAAGCUGUAGUUCUCAAUUAUAGUAAUAUUUCUUACUUCCAGUAAUAUGUCUCAAUACCUUGGACUGCUGGAUGUCAAAAGACAAUACCUGGGGGUCAUCUAUGAGAUCUGAACAAAUAGAGGAAUUCUCUAGGACUGUAUACUCUCUAUUUUGGCUUUUUGAAUGAAGUACAGACAGGCUUCUCUGCUAUCCUCCAGGCAGUGUAAUAGUCAAGGAAAAGGGCAACAGUAUUGGAUCAUUCCUUAGACACUAAUCAGCUGGGGAAAGAGUUCAUUGGCAAAAGUGUCCUCCCAAGAAUGGUUUACACCAAGCAGAGAGGACAUGUCACUGAAUGGGGAAAGGGAACCCCCGUAUCCACAGUCACUGUAAGCAUCCAGUAGGCAGGAAGAUGGCUUUGGGCAGUGGCUGGAUGAAAGCAGAUUUGAGAUACCCAGCUCCGGAACGAGGUCAUCUUCUACAGGUUCUUCCUUCACUGAGACAAUGAAUUCAGGGUGAUCAUUCUCUGAGGGGCUGAGAGGUGCUUCCUCGAUUUUCACUACCACAUUAGCUUGGCUCUCUGUCUCAGAGGGUAUCUCUAAGACUAGGGGCUUGGUAUAUAUGUGGUCAAAACGAAUUAGUUCAUUAAUGGCUUCCAGCUUGGCUGAUGACGUCCCCACUGACAGAGAAAGGGAGGCUGGUAAGGAACUGGGUCCUUCUGGGUAGACCUCUGGGAGCUCCUCCAGGCUGGCAGGCUCUGGGGAAGGGCAUUUGAAGAACAUGACUGGGUCCAAGUUGUCCAGAAUGCCCAACAGGAUAUCAGACUGUAAGAGGCAAAAAUUAAAUGAAGUACAACUGUCAGAAUACAAUGGAAAAUCUAACUGGAACACUUUGUACUGGGUUCCAUAAUGUAAAUUAGUCAUUAUGUGAUAAGAUGACCUCGGGACCCACCAGACCCAUUUAUCUACACUUCACUCCAUGUUCUAUAUUACCUGGAACUAGGAAGGUAGUUGAUGUUCACCUCCAACCCCACCAAAAACUAACUUCAACCCUCAUCUGUCUAGUUAGGGAUGUCAAGCAUCAAACAGAUGGAAUUAACUGGUUAUAUAGCUCUUUAAUAAGUCAGAAUGAUCCCUACCUCUGAAUCUGAAGAGUCAAUACCGCCAGAAUCCAUGGGGAGAUGUUCUGGAGGGGUGACAACUGGGCCUGCACCUGCUGCAGAGGUGCACGUAGUCUGAGUGCUGCGGACUCAGCAGACCCGGCCACUGGCCUCACUUCAUUCCCCUGGGAGGAAAGACCAAAGUGAAUAAACAGCUUCAAGUGCCCAAGGAAAUGCUUGCUAGACAGCUGUGAUUCUCAACUUUAAAGAAUUACUUUUCAAAAAGAUUCUAGGGUUAAAUUGCUAUAGAACUUUAUUAUCUAACAACAUUAUUAUUAUUGAGAAGAGCAAGAUAAGAUAUUUGCCAGUUCUGCUUGAAUCUUUGCCUGGAGGAGGAAAAAUGUUUCAUUGUGCAGGAAAUGUAUAAGGAAGCCUUACCUCCCUUUUCUCAUCUCUUGAGGACUUAAAAGUGGAAAUAACAAUGGUUAGGGAAAGAUUUCAGCUGUAAAGAAUGGUUUUCUAGUUUUCUUGAAAUUUGUCCUGAACAUUACCUUCACAGAGUAAAACUGUGCUACUGUCAAUCUUAGACCAUUUGAUUGUUGUCACUGAAUUUGCCAUAAUCUGUAGACUAAAACUCACAUACCACCCUUCUCUUACCACAGAGGUAUCACUAUUACAAAGAAUCCUUUCCCUACUCAUUCAUAUUCAUCAAAGAACUACUUUAAUUUUAGUAGCGUUCAAAAUCUGGUUUGAGUGGCUCUCUUACUUUGGUUCUCCUUAAUGAUUGCAUGGUAAUCUUGUUGGCUACUGCAUUUGUUAGUACUUGUUCUUAGGGAGCCAUGUAACUUGUUUUCAUUAUUAGAUCUUAGUACUGUUCACUACACACUUAAAAAAUGAGUGUCAAGUGCCUUUAGGGGAAGAACACUCUGCCUGCAUGAAAAUGUCUUAAAACUGAAGGAAAAUUUCAAGAACGCUCUUGAUCAGAAGUCCAGACUGUAAACAUAAUCGCUGGGUCAUGUCACUUGGAACCAGUACUCACAUGAGGCACCAAAUAAAGGAGAUGAUUUACCUUGGCUUCCGCCUCCUCUUCAGCAACCAGGGCAUCCAUCCCCAAGCGCUGUCUUAACUCCUGGUUCUCAACUACAAGGCCAUGAGUUUUCUCUCGUAAAAGCUGAUUUUCUAGCAAAAGUUUUUGGUUCUGGAAGAAAGUUCAUAAGAGGCUAUUAAAACAUCUAAUUAUUUCAGUUAAGAAUCUACCUGAUUCAGUAUAAUUGGUUUCCUUUCCUUCUUGAACUUUUGGAAAACUCUAUGCUUGUGGUGUUCAUAGUAGGUUUUAAAAAGCUAGGCCAUAAUUAUGGAAAAGCAAGCUACUUAAUAAGUGCCACUUCAUGGGGUCAAGAAUAACACACUGCUUCCAACUACUAAUACUGACUUCAGCAAAGGGUGACUUGUGGCUUUAAUGUAGAUAUAAUUUUUUUUUUAAACUAUCUUGGCCAGGCUCGGUGGCUCACACUUGUAAUCCUAACACUUUGGGAGGCCAAGGCAGGUGGAUCACCUGAGGUCAAGAGUUCAAAACCAGCCUGGCCAACAUGGCAAACCCCCAUCUCUACUAAAAAAUCCAAAAAUUAGCUGGAUGUGGUGAGGGGUGCCUGUAAUCCCAGCUAAUCUGGAGGCUGAAGCAGGGAGAAUUGCUUGAACCUGGGAGGCAGAGGUUGCAGUGAGCCGAGAUUGCACCACUGCACUCCAGCCUGGGCAACAGAGUGAGACUCCAUCUCAAAAUAAUGAUGAUGAUAAUAAUAAUAAUAAUAAUAUAAAAUAAAAAUAAAUAACUAUCUUGAACUGGCAGGUAAUAAUAAAAGUGGUAGUGGUGACUAUAAAUCCAAAAUAAGUUAAAAAAAAUCCCUGCUCCUGACUCAUGAUUCUUAGAAGAACCAACUAAUGAUUAAAACUUUAAAAAGCUCAAUAUAUGCAAAUUGACCAAGGGGUUAAAAAAACAAUAUAAAUAAUCUCUAUGUAUUCAAGAUGUGUAAUUGGCAACAAUUUAAGAUUGAUUAACAGGUGGACCCUAGAGGGGGAAAGGAACCUUUAGUGAAUUUCUGGCCAUGCCAGGAAGAAUGUAAAGUUUAAGCAAUUAUUUCCUAUUAGCCCUUGCUAAUUUCUUACUACAAACUCAAUAAACAUUGUUAAAUCCAUCUACUUUGAGAUACAUCUAGCACCAAAUGCCACAAAGUCAAUCACUUCUGCCCUCAACAAGCUUCACCACUUCACCAACUCUCUGUCCUAACUUAGAUUAACUUUUUUUUUUUUUUUGAGACAGGGUUUUUGCUCUGUCGCCCAGACUGGAGUGCAGUGGCAUGAUCUCGUGAUCUCAGCUCACUGCAACCUCCGCCUCCUGGGUUCAAGUGAUUCUCCUGCGUCAGCCUCCGGAGCAGCUGGGAUUACAGGUGCCUGCCACGACACCCGGCUAAUUUUUGUAUUUUUAAUAGAGAUGGGGUUUCACCACGUUGGUCAGGCUGGUCUCGAACUCCUGAUCUCAAGUUAUCUACCCACCUUGGCCUCCCAAAGUGCUGGGAUUACAGGUGUGAGCCCCGGUGCCCAGCAAACUUUUUUUUUUUUUCUUGAGACAGAGUCUCACUCUGUUGCCCAGGCUGGAGUGCAGUGGUGCGAUCUCAGCUCACUGCAACCUCCCUCUCCCAGGUUCAAACAAUCCUCCCACCUCAACCUCCCGAGUAGCUGGGACUACAGGCACUCACGCUUGGCCUUUUUUUUUUUUUUUUUUUUGGUAUAUUUUUGGGUAGAGACGGGAUUUUACCAUGUUGGCUAGGCUGGUCUCAAACUGCUGGCUUCAAGUGAUCUGCCCAACUCAGGCUCCCAAAGUGCUGGGAUUACAGGCAUGAGCCACCAUGCCCAGCCUAGUUUAACUUUUAAUCAUAUAUUCAAUUGUAUUCUAAUAGGGGCUGAAACAACUUGGGAUGGGAAGCAAAUAUCAGAACAUUCACCAAGGAAGGGUAUACAAUGGAUAAAAGAGUUUGACCUUAAGUAGUUUUACCUCUUCUUCUAAAUCUACCACUUGCUGUUCCAGCUCACUCAUUCGAGCCUUCUUUCGAUCUCUGGCAGUCUGAGCUGCUACUCUGUUUUUCAGUUUCCUAGGAAGAGAAGGAACAUACCACACUGAGUCAUAUCAAACCUUAUUUAUGUCUUUAUUUGAAAACUUUACCAGCUGGUGCUUUCAUUUUUAUUUACAGUAUAAGACAGACUAAUGAUAAAAUACACUUCAGGCUCCUCCCCUCAAUAAAACAAAAUAAAAAAUACAGUCUUCUGUCAAUCUAGCUCGAAGACCUGCUUUAUUCUCUCCUAUAUUGCAUCAUCCGUCCACCUCAGACUCAUCCCCGUCACAGCACUGGGGCUGGACACACACACUAUUCAUCUUGCAUCAUAAGGAACUUUCCUCUUUCCCCAUCUAUUCCCCCGCUGCUUCCUGUCUCCAGUUCUCUUAAACAGGAUCCAACCUGGCCUCAUUAAUCUAGUGAAGGCUGCAAUCUUGCUAUGACAUCAACCCUCCGUCCCCCAGUCCAAUUUAGAAAAGGGAGAGGCUGAUGCCACUCCCUGAUCUCUAGUGUUGAGAUCCUAGGCAGUGACCUGCUGAUGGGUCCGUGUCUGUUGGAGGAGACACUUUUUUUUUUAAAAGAAUUAACUCAGAAGAGACACUUCAUAAAUCACAGAAGGCACAAUGAUCACAAAAGAGUGAACAUUUACGGAGGACUAAGUGCUAGGCACAUUAUAUCCAAGUCUCAAUCUCCCCAAAGACCUCAUGAAGUAGGUUCCAUUUUAAGAACGCAGAUACUGAGCUAGACCAGUGAGCCUCGCAGAAUUCCCAGCCCUUUCAACAGCUCUGUUAUUUCAGCUCCGCGCCUCUCCAGAAAUAGCAGUAAACCAAAACAGAUUAUUCGACCUCAUGUCCGAGUUAAGAGGCUGAACCACCAGUCUGCGGCCACACAGCAAGAGGGCCUGGAAGACAGGUGCCCGCAUCCCCAGCUCUGGUCAUCUCUAACGAGAGAGUUAAAAAGUACAGAAAAGAGCCCUGGGCCGCCCUAGGUUCCCAGCGUGGCGGAUCCGGUCAGUCCGGGCUUCCUGCCCCGCCCCGCGCCACGCUGGCACCGACCCGCCAGGCCAAAGGCGACGGAGCCCUGCGGGGCGGCCAGUGCUGGGUCCCCGCUCCCAGCCCCUGCCCCUGCCCCUGUCCCUAGUCCCGGCUUCAGAUCUGGCCCCAGACCCCGGCCCCUCGCCCACCUCCUCAGCGCCUUCUCCUCGGGGCUCAGGUGCGUGAGGCGCUGUCGCUUGCGCGCCUGGGGCAGCCCCCCGCUCGCUGCCUCCGGGCUGGCCCCUCUCUGGGCUGGCACCAUGAGCGGCAGGGCCUGGCCGGCCGGGGCUCCGGCGGCGGAGGCGGGCUGCCCCGACAGAAGCAGAACUUUAGGGGUCCCGUCGGCCGGGUUCGGCGCGGCUGCCACCACCACCAUAGCUCCAGACUACGCACCGCGCACCGCGCGCCGCAGCCGCCCAGCGCCCAGCCUCGCCGCGCCCGGCCUUUCUACGGUCGUGGCCCUCCGCGAUUGGCCAGCGUCGCGUGACGCACGGCCGAGCUCGGCGUCCAUUGGUCCGGCCUGCCCGGCGGGGCGUUUCAGGACCGUGGCUAUGGAGUCCGGCGUGGCAGCGGCAAUCCCUGGCCAAAGGUACUUGGGGUCAUUUUCCGCGGGGGGUUACGUGCGGGAGCGUGUCCUCCACAAACGGAUUUUCCCCCCUUAAGCGGACUUAUUUCCAUCCGGAGUGACAGAAUUUAAUUCCAAACCGAGAGCUUUCCAGACUGACGAAUUUUUACCGGGACUAACAGAGAAUUACCUCAGCCUGACAACAUUUUAUCUCGUGCGCCACUUCGGGAUCCGAGUGGAGCCGAAAGUCGAGAUAGAGCGCAGUUGGGCCUUGGGUUCGAAAAGACUGGACAGAGGUUUCAGUGAGCCGAGAUCGCGCCACUGCACCCCGGCCUGGGCGACAGAGCGAGACUCCGUCUCAAAAAAAGAAAAAGAAAAAAGCCUGGAAAGAAAUUCUGCGGAAUAGAAGUCUUUAAGAAAUGAGAUCGUGCCCUUUAAAACUAAGUUUAACAAUAGUGAGGGCUUAAUAAACGAUAGGUGUUAUCUCUGGGUUGGAGGGGAAUACCUUCAAUUUUAGUUUUUCGUUCCAUUUCUAAAGUUUGUACUAUGAGCGUGCAUUUUUUUAAAUUUAGUUUUAUUUUAUUUUUUAAAUAGAAACGAGGUCUCACUGUGUUGCCCAGGCUGAUCUCGAACUUCUGAGCUCAAGUGAACCUCCCGCUUCGGCCUCUAUUAUUUUUAUUUUAUUUUUUUUUCUUAUUUUUUGAGACGGAGUCAGGCUCUGUCACCAGGCUGGAGUGCAGUGGCGAGAUCUCAGCUCACUGCAACCUUCGCCUCCGGGUUCAAGCAAUUCUCCUGCCUCAGCCUCCCGAGUAGCUGGGACUACAGGCGCCCGCCACCACACCCGGCUAAUUUUUUGUAGUUUAGUAGAGGCGGGGUUUCACCGUGUUGGCCAGGAUGGUCUCCAUCUCCUGACCUCGUGAUCGCCCGCCUCGGCCUCCCAAAGUGCUGGGAUUACAGGCGUAAGCCACUGCGCCCAGCCUCUUGUUAUUUUAAAUGAGGGGACAGGAAAACGUCACAUGUAGAGACUGAGACCCCGGGGUUGACCCUGAGCCCCCUCUCCGAGGGGAGGUCGAGGUUCCUGCCUGGCCAUUGUGGCGUGAGGGUGGCCAGGUGUUUGUGAAAGAGGGGCCCCCAGAGAGCAGCACGGGAGCGAUUUAUACACACGAAUAUUAACAUGGAGAAGUCCGAGAAACCCCCGUAAAUAUGCCUGUCCACUUUUUUUAAAGCAAAUUACAAAAUGUGAAAUUCCCCAGAAAUGCACAGCAAUACCUUCUCUAACAAGUAAUUAUUGCUUCCUCCUCUGCGGGCAGCACUAUUCCAGGUUCUAGGGGUGCAAACAGUAGUAAGACUGCUACCUGGUAUUUGGAGGAUAUGCAAAAAGUGAAAUGUUAAGAUAGCAGGUUCCUAAGUAAUUCUUUAGUGUUAUUAAGUCGGAUUAGCUGGUCAAUUUUAUUUUGGUAGGGAGGGAACAGGAUGGGAAAAAGAACUAAAAGCAAGUCCAUCUCUUGAUAUCUAAGCCCUCUAAAGGGACAUAGUUUUGGUUUUUGCCAGGACUGGGCCACGAGUCUCCUAACGUGUUUUCUCCCUCUUCGUUGGGAGGGAAAUCAAUGAUUUUUUUUUUUUUAACUGGGCUGUCCCAACUCCAGAGCCUCCUGAGCACGUGCUGUCCUGUGGGUUGGAAAAGAGGUGGGGGUGAUUGGAGUCUCUGCCGGACCAAGAAACCAACUUCCUGUUUAACUCUCAUCAGCUUGGGCCACCUGGGUUCUGAUGUGCCUUCAGAUGUGGGGAGACUUACUCCGGGCCUCUGAAAUGUUUUGGGAGAAGUCUGGAGGUGUCUUCUAGCCGAGACCUAUAGCUUCAUAUUAAAAGACCUUGGAAAGCUGUAAGAGGCUGUUAGAAAAGUCAUGUCAUGUCAUGCCACCUGUUACGUUUUAUUUUUUGAUGCCUUUUUUUUCCUUUUUUUUUUUUUUGAGACUGGGUUUCGCCACGUUGCCUAGGCUGGAACUCCUAGGCUCAAGCGAUCCUCUUGCCUUGGCCUCCCAAACUGCUGGGAUUGCAGGCAGGAACCACAGAGCCCGGCCCUUUUUAUUUAUUAAGUGAACAUUUAUUAAUGCCAAGAGAAUGUCUUUCACUGUGUAAGAAAGAAAAUGCUGGAGGACCCUUUUAGUCCAGCAGGGUGUAGUGAGUAACUGAGUAGAGAAAGCACAGGGUGCGGGAUGGGGAAAAAAGGUUGAUGAAUUGCACUUUGAUCUUAGUUAAUGCGAUAUUGAAAUUCACUUCCCCAGCUUGUUUUCAAAACUUUUAUAUUUUUGACAAACACUUUAAAUCAUACUAAAAACAAUAAUUUGACCCACUACAGAUUGCUGUCCAUGCAGUCUUGAACAUGUGAGUCCAAACCCUUGGACAGUUUCAUAUCCUCUCUAUAAAAUGAACCUGGUAAUUCUUGCAUCAGGUGCCAUAAGUGUUUAAAAAUAUUUACUAGACACCUGUGAUAAGAGCUAUAAAAUAUAUAAAUUACAAAGUUCUCGGUCUUUGAGGCCAAACGCGGUGGCUCACCCCUGUAAUCCCAGCACUUUGGGAGGCCGAGGUGGGCAGAUCACCUGAGAUCAGGAGUUCGAGACCAGCCUGGCCAACAUGGUGAAACCCAGUCUCUACUAAAAAUACAAAAAUUAGCCGGACAUGGUGGGGGGCGCCUGUAAUCUCAGCUACUGGGGAGGCUGAGGCAGGAUAAUGUCUUGAACCUGGGAGGCAGAGGUUGCAAUUAGCCAAGAUUGUGCCAUUGCACUCCAGCCUGGUCAACAGAGUGAGACUUUCUCAAAAAAAAAAAAAAAAAAAAAAAAAGUCAUUAUUCAGAAAGAAUCAGUCAGGAAAGGGUGGACAAAACAGGAACAGAAAUAAAUAGGCAUUCCAGAAAAGGGAAAACAGAAAAAUACUGUACACUGGUAAGCAGAAAACAGAAAAUAACAUGGCAGGAAUAAGUCCAAAUAUAUAAAUAAUAAAACAUAAAUGUGAAUGGGUUAUAUUAUCUUCUUAAUCAUGCUGUUUUGUUUUAUGUAUGUCUCUUUAUAAACAACAUAUAGCUGGCUUUGGGGUUUCUCAGAGCUCUCUUUUAAGAAGAGAAUAUAAAUCAUUUGUAUUUAUUUUUGAUUAUUUAUUUAUUUGGACUUAUUUCUGCCAUGUUAUUUCACAUUUUUUGUUUACUAUAUUUCUCAAGGCAGGAGGAUUGCUUGAGGCCAGGAGUUCAAGACCAGGCUGGGAAACAUAUUGUGACCUUGUCUCUACAAAAAAUUUAAAAAAAUUAACCAGGCGUGGUGACUUGCACCUGUAGUCCCAGCUGCUCGGAAGACGGAGGUGGUAAGAUCCCUUGAACCCAGGAGUUCGAGGCUGCAGUAAACUAUGAGCUAUGAUUGAACCAUUGUACUCCAACCUGGGAGACAGAAUGAGCUCCUGCCUCUAAAAAACAAAAAUUUUUUUAAAAAAAAGGAAAAUGACUUACCAGCCAUUUUUAUGUUUAUGGAAAUGUUUAUGGAAAGAAAGCAUAUGUAGCAAUAUUAAUAUGAGACAGAAUUUAUCAUAAAGGCAUUAAAAGGACAAAGAAGGGUAUUUCAUGUUGAUUGAAGGUACAAGUUACCAUAUAUACAUCUUUAUGAACAUAGCAACAUAAUUUUGAAAUGUAUAGGCCUAGCAUGUCGGCUCACACCUGUAAUCUCAGCACUUUGGGAGGCUGAGGUCAGGGGUUCAAGACCAGCCUGGUCAACAUGGCGAAACCCCGUCUCUAUUAAAAAUACAAAAAUUAACUGGGCAUGGUGGCACGUGCCUGUAAUCCCAGCUACUGAGGAGGCUGAGGCACGAGAAUUGCUUGAACACGGGAGGCAGAGGUUGUAGUGAGCCAAGAUCGAACCACUGCUCUCCAACCUGGGUGAGGGACACAGCAAGACUCUGUCUCAAAAAAAAAAAAAAAAAAAAAAAAUUAGCUGGGCUUGGUAGUGUGCACUUGUAGCCCCAGCUGCUCGGGAGGCUAAGGUGGGAGGAUCAUUUGAGCCCAGAAGAUUGAGGCUGCAGUGAGCCGAGAUGGUACCACUGCAUUCAAGCCUGGGUGACAGAGUGAGAUCCUGUCUCAAAAGAAAAAACAAAAGAAAAUUGGCUGGGCACGGUGACUCAUGCCCGUAAUCCCAGCUCUUUGGGAGGCUGGGGCGGGGAUCCCCUGAAGUCAGGAGUUUGAGACCAGCCUGGCCAACAUGGUGAAACCUUAUCUGCCGAGACCAGCUCGGUCAGGGAGACCCUAACCCAGCAGUGCUAGAGGAAUUAAAGACACACACACAGAAAUAUAGAGGUGUGAGGCCGGGCGCGGUGGCUCACGCUUGUAAUCCCAGCACUUUCGGAGGCCGAGGCAGGCGGAUCACGAAGUCAGGAGAUCAAGACCAUCCUGGCUAACACGGUGAAACCCCGUCUCUACUAAAAAUACAAAAAAUUAGCCGGGCGUAGUGGCGGGCGCCUGUAGUCCCAGCUACUCGGAAGGCUGAGGCGGGAGAAUGGCGUGAACCCGGGAGGCGGAGCUUGCAGUGAGCAGAGAUCGUGCCACUGCACUCCAGCCUGGGCGAGAGUGAGACUCUGUCUCAAAAAAAAAAAAAAAAAAAAAGGAAAUAUAGAGGUGUGAAGUGGGAAAUCAGGGAUCUUACAACCUUCAGAGCUGAGAACCCUGAACAGAGAUUUACCCACAUAUUUAUUAACAGCAAACCAGUCAUUAGCAUUGUUUCUAUAGAUAUUAAAUUAACUAAAAGUAUCCCUUAAGGGAAACGAAGGGAUGGGCUGAAUUAAAGAAAUAGGUUGGGCUAGUUAACUGCAGCGGGAGCAUGCUCUUAAGGCAUGAAUUGCUUAUGCUAUUGUUUGUGGCUUAAGAAUGCCUUUAAGCAGUUUUCCGCCCUGGGCAGGCCAGGUGUUCCUUGCCCUCAUUUCCGUAAACCCACAGCCUUCCAGCUUGGGCGUUAUAGCCAUUAUGGACAUGUUACAUUGCUGCAGAGAUUUUAUUUAUGGCCAGUUUUGGGGCCAGUUUAUGACCAGACUUUGGGGGGCUUGCUCCCAACAGCUAUCUCUACUAAAAAUAACAAAAAUUAGCUGGGCGUGGUGGUGGGCGCCUGUAAUCCCAGCUACUCAGGAGGCUGAGGCAGGAGAAUCACUUGAACCCGGGAAGGGGAGGUUGCAGUGAGCCGAGAUCGCACCAUUGCACUCCAACCUGGGCAACAAGAGUGAAACUCUGUCUCAAAAAAAGAAAAGAAAAGAAAUGUAUAAAACAAAGACUGAAAUGAUGAAAAUGAUCCACAAAUCACAAUGGGAGAUAAAUACAAUUCUCAGAAUCAACAGAGGGAGCAGACAGAAAAAAUUUGAACAGUACAACUUUCCUCCCAACCAAGGACUUAUGUUUUUUCUUUUUUUCGAGACAGAGUCUCCCUCUGUCACCCAGGCUGGAGUGCAGUGGCGCGAUCUCGGCUCACUGCAAACUCCGCCUCCUGGGUUCAAGCAAUUCUCCUGCCUCAGCCUCCCGAGUACCUGGGAUUACAGGCGCCUGCCACCAUACCCAUCUAAUUUUUGUUUUUUUAGUAGAGACGGUUUCACCAUGUUGGACAGGCUGGUAUAGAACUCCUGACCUUGUGAUCCGCCCGCCUCGGCCUCCCAAAGUGUUGGGAUUACAGGUGUGAGCCACUGUGCCCAGACAGGCCUAUGUUUUUUCAAUUAAGAAACAUUCUCACUUUUUUUUUUCUUUUUGAGAUGGAAUCUCGCUUUGUUGCCCAGGCUGGAGUGCAGUGGCACGAUCUCAGCUCACUGUCUUACUGCAACCUCCGACUCUUGAUUCUCCUGCCUCAGCUUCCCGAGUAGCUGGGAUUACGGGUACAAGCCACCAAGCCUGGUUGAUUUUUGUAUUUUUAGUAGAGACAGAGUUUCACCAUGUUGGCCAGCCUGGUCUGGAACUCCUGACCUCAGGUAAUCCACCUAAGUUGGGCUCCCAAAGCGUUGGGAUUAUAGGCGUGAGCCACGGGACCUGGCGAAAUCUUUAUAUUUUCAUUUCUCUUAGGUAAAUACCUAUAAGUGGAAUUGCAGUAUCAUAUGGUAAAUACUAUGUUUAAAUUUUUUAGAAACUUAGCAGCUUUCCAAAGUGGCUAUAGGUUAUACCAUUUUACAUUCCCACCAGUGAUGUACUGCUUUUUUAUAUUGCUAUUAUAGAUUGUUAUUUAACUCUUUCAUGGUUGUCCAACUUCUUAUUGUUUAUGUUGUAUGUUUUUCCCAACUGGAUUUCAACAAGCUCAUUAGACGCAGAAGCUAGGGUUAUUCGUGGUUCCAUUUUUUGUGUGUUCUGUGCUUACGAUAGUGCUGAGUACAUACUUGGCAUUCAAUAAAUAUUUUCGAAUGACUAUUGAAUGGUUACAUUAUCUGCAAUAUGCUUUAUUUUAUUUUAUUAUAUUUUGAGACAGGGUCUUACUCUGUCACUCAGGCUGAAGUGCAGUGGCAUGAUGUCGGCUCACUGGAGCUUUCGCCUCCCGGGUUCAAAUGAUUCUCCCGUCUCAGCCUCCUAAGUAGCUGGGAUUACAGGCAUGCACCAUCAUGCCUGGCUAAUUUCUUUUGUUUGUUUGUAUUUUUAGUAGAGACGGGGUUUUGUUACAUUGGCCAGGCUGGUCUCGAAUUCCUGACCUCAGGUGAUCUACCCGCCUCACCCUCCCAAAGUGCUGGAAUUACAGGCAUGAGCUACCGCUCCCAGCUGAAUGAACUCAUUUUUUUUUUCUUUUUUUGAGACGGAGUCUCACUCUUGUUGCCCAGGCUGGAGUGCAAUGGCGCCAUCUCAGCUCACCCCAACCUCUGCCUCCUGGGUUCAAGCGAUUCUCCUGCCUCAGCCUCCCAAGUAGCUGGAAUUACAGGCAUGUGCCACCAUGCCCAGCUAAUUUUGUAUUUUUAGUAGAGACGGGGUUUCUCCAUGUGGGUGAGGCUGGUCUUGAACUCCCAACCUCAGGUGAUCCACCCCCCUCGGCCUCCCAAAGUGCUGGAAUUACAGGCGUGAGCCACCGCUCCUGGCCCUGAAUGUACUCAUUUUAAAGCACUAAGGCAACAGUUCUAGUUACCUACACGGCACCUAUUAUACUUUUUCUUCCUUAUUAAAAAAAACUAUUUUGUUCAAGAUGCCCACUUGAAAACACUCAGCUUCCAGACUCCCUGGAGUUUAUGGAUAGUUACAUAAUGUGGUUCAGGCCAAUGUAUACAUACGUGGAAGUUCUGGGCACAGACGAUUCCAGGAAAGUUUGUUAAGUGGAGGAGACUCAACUGGGAAGGCUUUCACCUUUUGCCUGUUGCUCUUUUCCUUUUUUCCCCUCUUCCUUGCCUGGAAUGCUGAUGAAACUUCCAAAGAUUGAGAGGUUCAGCCGCCAUCUCACAAAUAUGCGGAUUGGAGUCACAUGCUAAGGACGUCAGAGGGGAAAGACAGAAGGAGUCUGGGCUCCUGAUGGCACCAUGGAGUGGCCAUUUAGCUCUAGACUGCCCAUUUCCAGAUGUCACAUUACAUAAGAAUUAUAAUUCCUGUGGUAGCUGGGUUCUUGUUACAUGCCAUUAAAUACAGUCCUCGCUUUUACUGACAAUUUUUUUUUUUUUUUUGAGACCGAGUCUUGCUCUGUCGCCCAGGCUGGAGUGCAGUGGCGCAAUCUCGGCUCACUGGAAGCUCCGCCUCCUGGGUUCACGCCAUUCUCCUGCCUCAGCCUCCCGAGUAGCUGGGACUACAGGCAUGCGCCACCGUGCCCGGCUAAUUUUGUAUUUUUAGUAGAGACGAGGUUUCUCCAUGUUUGUCAGGCUGGUCUCGAAGUCUCAACCUCAGGUGAUCAGCCUGCCUCGGCCUCCCACAGUGCUGGGAUUACAGGCGUGAGCCACCACGCCCGGCUUACUGACAAUUUUACCUGCCACAUUGCCCUUCCUUAGAUUUCCCAAGUACCGUCUUUGUUCUCAUCAAUAAGCUACCAGCACUGCUGAGGAACAGGUAGGCUUGAGCAGGACAAUUAGAAGUAGGUGGGACCCAGGCACACAAUUUUUAUCAGUGGCACUUUCUUCUGAUACCAGGAAAAGAGGUGAGUCAUUCCACAUUAUAGCAUCACUAUUUUGUGAAUGGGAAAAUUAAGGUUCAAAGGGAAAAAAUAAUCAGCUUAAGCAUACAGAUUACAUCUCCAGCUUAUCUGUCCAUCCCUCACUCCUGUCUUACCACUUCCCUGAAUUAUUCUUCUCUGUUUAGUUUGCCUGGUAAACCCCAUUUCUUCUGUUUGUUUAAACUACAGUUUCUCAACCUCAGUGUUAUUGACAUGUGGGGCUGGACAAUUCUUUGUGGUGAGGGGCAGCUCUGUCCCUUAUAGGAUGUUUAACAGUAUCCCUGGCCUCUGCCCACCAGAUGCCAGUGGCACCCCUCCCCUCCUCCAAGUUGUGACAACCAAAAUUGUCUUUGGACAUUGCAGAAUGUCCCCUGGGGGCCAAGAUCUCCCCCACUGAGAUCACUACUCUCAAGUCAGGUCAAACACCACUCCAAUCUAUACCUGCUUUGUUCCCACAUGU
rnacentral:lncRNA from 1 species